rnacentral:lncRNA from 1 species
CGUACCCUUGAAAUUUAGGAGAGAAAGCACGGUAUAACAAGAUUUGAGAAAUCUUGCAUCGUUAUACACAACCAAGGCUCUAAUCUUGUCAGGAAACAUGAUCAACGUCUACAUGACUUUGAGCAACCACACUAGCUUAGGCUAUGUAUUUAUAGGUCAACCUCCCCCCUUCCCUCCCCUCCCCUCCCCCCAUCUUAAAAAUU